UACGUAGGGUGCGAGCGUUGUCCGGAAUUACUGGGCGUAAAGAGCUCGUAGGUGGUUUGUCGCGUUGUUCGUGAAAACUCACAGCUCAACUGUGGGCGUGCGGGCGAUACGGGCAGACUUGAGUACUGCAGGGGAGACUGGAAUUCCUGGUGUAGCGAUGGAAUGCGCAGAUAUCAGGAGGAACACCGGUGGCGAAGGCGGGUCUCUGGGCAGUAACUGACGCUGAGGAGCGAAAGCGUGGGGAGCGAACAGG
rnacentral:rRNA from 1 species